rnacentral:lncRNA from 1 species
CUCAGAGGUCCCACUGCAGCGGUCUGAGUGUGUGCAGGGGGCAAUUUCUGGGGGUUGCGUUCAUUUUCUCAAACACUUCUGACCCAAUAAGCCUCCCACCAGCACCUCCUGCUCAGCGCCCACACCCGGGGUUCGUGGCCGUGGAGAGCGUUGCUCCUCUCACAGCUCAGGUCGUCAUGGUCCCUCUUCUGAGCCCGACCCGUGUAUCCCGCUGCCGGAUAGCUACUCUGUGGAGUCCACAAGAUCUUGAAUAGCAGAAGAACUCCAAGAAACUACGUUCCCUUCCAAAAAUAUUCAAGCUUGUCCAAGUCAACCCCAAGAUUCGUGCUGGUCCUACUGGGACUAGAUGGGCCCAAUAGCUGUGUUUGACCUUGGUGUGACACAAGUCCACAUCUCCUGAGAGCCUCCUGGAAGGACAACAUCUGGACUAAAACCCAUGGAGAGGCACAAAGAUUCACGACAUGGAGACGCCGGGUCCCAGCACCGUCACUGGGAUGUCCAAGUUUAUCUGUGUUGUGUUACCCUAAAUGUUCAGUUAAUCAUCAAUAAACCCACACCCUUCAUUUUUAGAUGAUCAGAAAACAUGUCAAGUGCUCAAGUACUAAAGCAUGAACAUUGCAGCUAAAUUUAGCACAAAAGACAGAGUUGUAGGAGAAAGAUUUUCACACAAACGUAUUGCCAUAGCCAGUGUUCAGAAGGCCCCUUCCUGUCAUGGUUAGUUGACUCACUUGUGUGACCCCAUUUCCUUGGGCAAAUUGCUGAGCUGAGCCUCCAUGGACAGACACAGCCAUCGCAGAUCCCAUCAUCGGGCUCCACCAGAAAGAAAAGGAGGGAGGUCAGCACCAGUAGUAAUGGUGAUAACAACAGUGUUUUUGGAUAACUCAGCCUCCAGGGUAAGUCUGACUCCUCAGGAGAUGGGCAGGGGUGGAUGGUCCCAGCAGAGAUCCGAACGAGCCAAGGUGGAGGCACGUGAGAGGGGAUGUGCGGGCUCCUGAUGUGGCAGACGUCUGGAGCAGGGCCAGGGGAGAGUACGGCAAGAGAGGCAGCAGUCACGUCUCGGGUGCCACGGUGAGGGGCCUGUAAUGCCACACAAAGAACUCUUGGAUUCCCAAGAAGCCCGGGAGGACAGUGUUUAUUGUGAAAUCUUACAUGUGACUUAGUCGGUGUCUAUACAUAGGGAAUGUUUACUGAACUGUUGUAGGUGAAGGACUCUCAGACAUUCGGCUUGGUUACCACGUCCUCCAGAAAGUCUCAGAUAAACCCCCAACUGGUCCAGCCUGUCAGUGUCCUCCAUCUCUAACCUUGUUCUACUUCCUUAUCUGCCUUUACUGCAGUCCUUGGAAGCAGCGGCAAUGUCUGUAUUAUUUUUAUGUUCCCAGCACAUGUAACACCUUCUACCAUGCAGUGGGGCAUCAGCACAUGCUUCUCAAUGACUUGAAGGUGGACUCCAAAUAUGAGUGCCUUCCACUCCUCCCUCAAGCUCAGUAAGAUUCAGAAGUCUUCCCCUAUUUGUUCUUUAAUUCCACAGAGAUUAGAGGCAGCCUCAGAGAUCCUUGGCUUUGGUGUAAACUGGCCUCACUGCUGCCUACUAGCUGAGGGUGGAGCCACCUGGCAGUGCCCAGGAGACACCUAGUUCAGAGUAGGUGGAGGUGGAGGAGUGAGAAAGGCCAGGGAAGACCCACGGUCUGCACAGAUGACACUCUGUGAGGCUGCCAUGAAAUGAAGGUGAUCCCUGGUUUUCUGACUGCUGGACUCUGGCUCCAUUCCUGAAAAUCCUGUCCUGGAUUGGUCAGGGAGGCCACCGAGUUGCUAGCGAGAGACCCCAAGGAAGAAAGAAGACCAGCGUCCAUUCAUAGCUUGCUUGAGCUAUCCAGGUAAGAAGACUGGAGGGGUCAUGGUUGAUGGGCCAAGGUGAGGAGUAAGGAGAGUACCGACAGCAACGGGCUCUGCCAGGCCCUUGCUGAGUGCUUUCCCUGCAUUAUGCCCAUCAGCUCUUCCCAUGAUCCUGCGGUACAGCUAGACACCCUUCUUAUUUAGAAGAUGGAGAAACUGUUAAGGAAGACUUGUUUUCAUACAAUUAAGCAUUGGAUCAUCUGGAACUCGAGUCCAGGUCCAUGUGAUUAUAAAGUCUGAAUUUCUCUACAAUACCAAGCUUUCUUGCAGGGAUGAUUGAAAGGAAAACCUGGAUGGGGGACUAAAAAUCUGGCUCUACAUUUCCAAGUAGCUGAGUGACUCUGGCUGAGCGGUGAGCACAUCUUGAUGUCUUUGGUGUGCCCAUGACUCUGUGCACAUUUUAACGUUCAGAACCCUGCUACUUCCUCAAGGCCCAAUUUGAAUAUCUGGUCCUACUGAGGUUUUCCAGUCCUUUCUUCUGAAAGUGACUGCUCUUUCCUCUGACCUCUACCCUGCUGUGUUGUUUGUUGUUUACAUGACUACCUCUUAAACUGACAUGCAGAAUUGAAAUCUAGUUUAGAGGUUAGGCAAAAAGGAGCUUCAUGAAGUGGAUUCAAAUACAUGCAACUUUUUUCACAGGCAUCAAAUUCCAGAGGAAUGAUCAUUAGCCUCAGAAUCAAUAGACUCAGAUCUGAUUAUUGGAUUACUUGCCAGCUAUAUGAACUUUGUCAAGCUUCCUCACCUCCCUGAACUUUAUUGUCUCGCCUGCAAAAUGCAGCCAGCAAUGCUUAAUUCACUGGAUUAAUUAAAAUGUGCAUAUCAUAAUGAUAAUAUCUAUGCUCAGUGGCACAUUAUUUAAUAACAAUUAUAUUUAUUGUUUGCCAUGUGAUUUAAAUUGGGUACAUGGCAACCAUAUGAAAUAAAUACUAAAUAACCCCCAGUUUGGAUAUAAGGAAACACAGGAUCUAUGAGGACAUGUAAGUUGCUCAAAAUUUCACAGCUAUGAAGAAUGUUCUAAUAUUCAGAGUCAACUCUAUGUGUGCUUAUUUAAUGGUGCAGGCAUCAUUUAAUUUGUAAUGAAGAUGAUUACAUCCAUUCUUCCCCUGAAGAGGCUCCUGGCAGUCAGACAGGUUCAGCAUUUAGCUGAUAAGGAAGCUUCAGGUCGGAAGCCCCUGUGGUAGACCAAGGCUACAUCCCCACAGUCCUGCUUUGCAUUCAUAGUGCAUGGGGCACUGAGGAUGCCAGGGGAAGUUUACAGGGGGAAACCACAAUACCAAACUGACCUUGGGUAUUGAUUCUGGUUAGAAGAGUUACAAGAGUGACUUUUGAAAUUGACUUUAUUUGUUCUUACAUCACAGAGCAUAAAAGUUCCCUCUUGGUGUGCAACAUGGCAAGCUGAGCAGUCUGAGCCAUGAGAGUCCUCGUUAACAAAGGAGACGGAGCAGAGUCGAAGAGAAGCUUUGAAAACAGAAGGAGAAAUGGGGAGUAAGCAGAGCAUGGAAGAGCCCUGGUAGGGGAGAGGAAGUCUCAGGACACUGAGGGGUUCCUUAGAAUCAAGGAGAGUCUAGCCAGCCAAGGCUAAAGCUGCUUGGCCGAGGUCAUAUUCAGGACCAAGGACAGGCCCAGGGAGCCUGCCGGGUGCGGCUGCUGGGUGGUUUGGGGACCAAGACUCACGAACAAGCUCGAGAUGGAGCUUCAGAACCAGGCCAGCUCUCUCCUAAGCCAGGGCGCCUGGGGUGAUUUCAGGACCAAGGACAGCGACACGAAGCGAGGGUCUCCUGGAAGCCGUUUUAGCAACAAGGACAGCUCAGGGUAGGAGGCUCUACCGCAGAUGAGAAUCAGGACGUGGGACAGCUCCAUUCUUUAUCAGAUCAAAGGAAACAGACUUAUUUGAGCAUUAAGCAUUUUCUGUGAAGUUAGAUCCAUAAUCAUGAGCGUUGAGAUCCAGAGAAAUAAAGUAGGAGAUGAAUAUGACUCCAUGAUGUAAAUCUUCAUCUGUAACCAAACUGGAGUCCCAGCUCCAUAA